UCUGGAGAAGCUUUGAAACAUGUUUCUCUUAUUUUGUAUCUUGUCUUCUCUCCCUGGUGUUUUGUCACAAGCACAACUUACACAACCCAGCUCAGAAAUGAAAAAACCCGGAGAGAGUGUAACAUUAUCAUGUAGAGCAUCUGGUUACACGUUCACCAGCUUUGCUGCUAUGCACUGGGUUCAACAGGCUCCAGGUGCAGGAUUGAAACACAUUGGAUACAUUAAUACCAAUACUGGAAACGCUUAUUAUUCUUCAUCAUUCCAAGGAAGAUUCACAAUAACAAAAGACGAUUCACUUAGUACAUCAUAUCUAAAAAUUGACAGGCUGACAUUGGAGGACACUGCAAAUUACUACUGUGCAAGAGACACAGUGACAAAACCAAAUAAACAGACAGUACAAAAACAUCAGAAAGGAUAG